rnacentral:ncRNA from 1 species
UAAAAUUAAAUAUAAGUUUCGUAUAUGCUUAAUUAUAUCAAUAUAUAUUGAGGUUUGAGCGUUUCUACCAGGAUGCCUGAAAUUCCUGACUACGAAUAUAAAGUAAA